rnacentral:lncRNA from 1 species
CCAUCCGUACGCUGGUAGGAUCCGUAAUGGUACAGGCAGCAUCCUGCAGCACAAUGUGGUCUUUAAAUCCGUCGCGUACCGGGAUGAUUUGAACAGGACUGGACUGUCACCGGACCGGGAUCGUCGGACGGGCAGCUGGCACGGAAUGGUAUUUAUGAACAGACGUUUCUUAUAUAACUGCAGUGCUCCAGUCCUGGAUGUGAAGAUUGCCUUUUGUCAGGUGUGUGUUCCAUACAGGUAAAUUAAAAGGUAGAGUAUUCAUUCACUUCCAUUCUGUC